AUUGAACGCUGGCGGCAGGCUUAACACAUGCAAGUCGAACGAGUGGCGGACGGGUGAGUAAUGCUGGGGCAUGUAGCCUAUGGAGGGGGAUAAAUACGGGAAACUGUAGCUAAUACCGCGUACCAUCAGAUGAACCCAUAUGUGAUUAGCUUGUAGGUGAGGUAACGGCUCACCUAGGCGACGAUCCCUCGCUGGUCUGAGAGGAUGAUGAGCACAACUGGAACUGAGACACGGCCCAGACUCCUACGGUAGGCAGCAGUGGGGAAUAUUGCACAAUGUGCGCAAGCCUGAUGCAGCCAUGCCGCGUGUAUGAAGAGGGCCUUCGGGUUGUAAAGUACUUUCAGUAGGGAGGCGUUACCGACAGAAGAAGCACCGGCUAACUCCGUGCCAGCAGCCGCGGUAAUUC
rnacentral:rRNA from 1 species